GUUAUUCUCCAUUGGCUGUUAUAAUGCGCUCCACUCUUCCACAAAGUCUUUCAGCUAGGUUUUGGGGCGUGGCUGUGGGGAUGUGUGCUCAUUCAGCUACAAGAGCGCUAGUGAGGAUGAGGUCAGGCUCCGAUGUCGAGGAGGCUCCGGUUCCAGUUCAUCCCCGAGGUGUUCAGUGGGGUCGAGGUCAGGGCUCUGUGCAGGAUACUCGAGAUCUUCCACCUUCUUCCAACCUUAACACACCACGUCUUCACGGAGCUCGCUUUGUGCACAGGGACGCGCGUCGUCAUGCUGGACUUGUAAUGCUACAGCAUACGAACACGGGUGUGACGGGCAGCUGUCCACAAACAUUUGGCCAGAGAACUAAUCCCUGGCCCUAACGCACAAACAGAUCCCAGUCUCUCCCAGUCUGCAGUGAUUAUAACCUUAUGCCGAAACACUCGUCCAUUCAUUCAUACACUUUCAGCAAACUCAGAGGGGACACAUCCCGGAAGACACACGACUCCAUCUCCAUCUCCCACACUCACACUCAUUCACACCUACGAGCGGUUUAGAGUCACCAAUCCACCUACAGGUGUGUUUCUGGACACUGGGAGGAAACCGGAGAACCCAGAUGAAGCCCAUAUGGACACCAGGAGAACAUGAGGAACUUCUCACGGACAGUAACCCGAGCUCAGGACACUGGAGCUGUGAGGCGUCUCCUCUUACUCAUAAUCAGGUUGAACGCACAGAUUACAGCGUCAACAGACACGGGCAGCGUGACCGCUGAGAGAGACGGGGGUGAUCAGGGUGAACGGGAUUAGUGCUGAAGCAGCAGUGAGACAAAGCGCAGAUCAUCUAAACACCUCUACAGAAGGCGUGUGGAACUCUCUCCAGGACACAGUGGCUUCAGGGAAGGCUCUCGAUGUUUACAAGCGUAUGUUCUUUAGAUUUACGUCGGUUACAUCAUUCCUUUUGGUCGAAAAUAAAGAACGUUUAACAACAAAGCUUUUCAUUUCCAUUGAUGUUGCACCGGCAAAAUGUAUAUCUUUGAAAAUUGUAAAAAUA